GCCCCUAUAGCUCAAUGGAUAGAGCAAACCCGUCCUAAGGGUGAGAUGUGGGUUCGAUUCCUACUGGGGGCA
rnacentral:tRNA from 1 species